rnacentral:lncRNA from 1 species
CAGAUUUUCUCUUAAUGCUUCGGUUUUUGAGUUAUAAGCCAAAAACUGCAUUUUACCCCUAUGUUCUAUUAUUAGCCGUGGCAGCCAUUUUAGUUGAUUGGCCAGGUCACGCCACACAUUUUUUAAACAAGUUACCCCAAUGAUGACUGUGGCCAAGUUUAGUUUAAUUUGGCCCAGUAGUUUCAGAGAAGAAGAUUUUUGUAAAAGAUUACUAAGAUUUACGAAAAAAUGGUUAAGAACUGACUAUAAAGGGCAAUAACUCCCUCAGGGGUCAACUGACCAUUUUGGUCAUGCUGACUUA